AUGCGUUGUUGGGUAGGGGAGCGUUCUGUAAGCCUGCGAAGGUGUGCUGUGAGGCAUGCUGGAGGUAUCAGAAGUGCGAAUGCUGACAUAAGUAACGAUAAAGCGGGUGAAAAGCCCGCUCGCCGGAAGACCAAGGGUUCCUGUCCAACGUUAAUCGGGGCAGGGUGAGUCGACCCCUAAGGCGAGGCCGAAAGGCGUAGUCGAUGGGAAACAGGUUAAUAUUCCUGUACUUGGUGUUACUGCGAAGGGGGGACGGAGAAGGCUAUGUUGGCCGGGCGACGGUUGUCCCGGUUUAAGCGUGUAGGCUGGUUUUCCAGGCAAAUCCGGAAAAUCAAGGCUGAGGCGUGAUGACGAGGCACUGCGGUGCUGAAGCAACAAAUGCCCUGCUUCCAGGAAAAGCCUCUAAGCAUCAGGUAACAUCAAAUCGUACCCCAAACCGACACAGGUGGUCAGGUAGAGAAUACCAAGGCGCUUGAGAGAACUCGGGUGAAGGAACUAGGCAAAAUGGUGCCGUAACUUCGGGAGAAGGCAC
rnacentral:rRNA from 1 species